CAGUAUUAAACCAAGUUCUUUCCAUUGGCUGUUUGUCUAUAACAGUCCAGCUAUUUGCGGGGCGGCAAACUCAACUGGCUGCUUAAAGGGUUUUUACCCUGAGUUCAGUAAAGGCAGCUUCUUCCUUACAACUCUGAAAUUUAAAAAAGUACAUGGGAUUAACAAUCUGUUGAUGACCAGCUCACGCUCAAAGAUUUGGACAUAGCCAAUUGCAUCCCACAAGGUGAUGUUGAAGAAAUGUUUCUCAGACUCACCUGCUCGUCUCUUGAAAGUAUAACAGUUCAAGGAAAUAAUUUUAAGGUAGACAGGAAUUGGGGGAUGGGAAAUGUCCACAUGUCGCCAAUUUGAGGAGCUAGAUCUCGCCACUGUCAGUCCCUCUCUCAAGAUUUGCAAAUUUUGAGGUGCAACAUUUAUGACCUUUCCAAUAUCAGUCUUGUGGCUUGAAAUUACAUUCUUGGAACCUCCAAUUGUAUCACUAUAGUGGUACACCCAUUCCCAGCUCAAACUGCCACAAGGGCGGUACUAUUGGCUUUCUAUCUCAGACAUGCUGCACAUAGGAUUCAAGAGAUAGUCUGAACAAGCUCUGAAAGAUUGAUCAGCAACAGUUUAAAAAGGCUUUGUUUCUUGCUCUUCAUUUUCUACUGCAGUGAAGAUCCACGUUUUCUUUUGUCUAUAAUUUCCAUGUUUCAUGUUUCUUCUUUCCUCAAUCGUGAGAAAAUUUCCACUUGCAUAGAAAUUGUUGGCCUCAACUAGACUCUUCAUCCUUCAUCCACAGUGUGAACUACUCCCAAAACUAAGAUUAAGUAAUGAAAUUUAGAUUAAAUUGUUCUUAAGAGCAACCCAAAAAUAAAAACAGCAACACUACAAGAAAUUUCUAAAUGGUAAUAUUUGUGUAUCAAAGAUCAUCAACUUCAAACAUCAAACUUGUUAUAUUUUUAGAACAGGGCCUGGUUUAUAAGCUCCAAUUUUCUGAGGGAGACAUAAAAUCCUUGGCAUUUUGACACCUCCAACAUUAACUCCAAAAUUAACACGCAACUACAGCUAUAAUGAGUGGCUAAACAAACAGAAAUUCUUGAGAUCAACCUCAAAUUUAUUAUCUAAUAAAGCCAUCUGCAAAAUACACCAAAUUCUUCCCACAGAUUUCUUUGCUGAAAACGAAAAGCCCAUCUCUAUUUAUGCAUUUUCAUCCAGUGCAGAGAAAUUUCACAGGGCAUAAAAACAAAAAUAAAUCAAAUAAUAAAAAGUGCAAAAUCAUUCAUCAAAAAGCUUUCUCAAUAGAUUAAAUUAAAAAAUAAUAAUAAAAAUAAUCUUCCUUGCCCUUUUCUUUUUUUUUUAAUCCUUAAUUUCCUUUAUUUGCUUGGACGUAUAUAUUAUGCAACAUUUUCUUUUUUCCUGUUCUUCAAAUUAGUUUUUUAUAACCCAAACCACUUGCAGGCAAGGAUUUAGCCUUCUUGCAAAUAACAACAGAUUCAGGCUGUUAUGGAGCAGCAGUUUGCUUGCUUGCCAGUUGUCAGUGGUCAGGGGUAGUAGUUGCUUCUAGCUGUCUAUUUGAGUCACAUCAGAAGUAUAAUAUCCCUGCCUUUAUCAUCUCCGACUUAAAAAGGGUGAGAGACAAUAGGAUAAUUCAGGGAAAACUGGAGAGGAAGAACAAAUAAUGACUUUCUACUCCCCUUUUUAAUUCACUGCCUCACCUGGCGCUUUCUCUGGGGUUUUAGAUCAACAACAAUGAUAGAUAUGUUGUCGCAGCUGUUUUUGCCGUAAGCUAUUUCAGUGAGAUUAUCAGCCACAGCUUGUGCCGGAGAAAUUUCAUCGGACACCAUUGUUCUGCGCCACCUUCUUAAGAGUCGGCGAGCCACAUCCCCUACCUCUUCAUUUGCCAUUACAUCCCACAGACCAUCACUUGCCAGAAUCAAGCAUUCAUCCUCAUCAGUCCUUGUCAUGAAAGUGAUCUCAGGCACUGGAAUUAUCGAUGGCCUUAAAUACCUAUCACCUAAAACACCAAAAAAGAGCUAGAGUGACAUAGAGUAAUCAUUGUCAUACCGAUAGCAGUUCAAACGGAAGUGCUCAUGUUUUAAGAUCCAUUUACUAGUGACCAUUGAACAAUGCUUGCCUAAGAAAUAAAAGCAUUAUGACAGUCUUUUCAUUAUGUACAUGAUUUAUAUAGACUUAUAACAAAAAACUAAGAAAUAAAAGAUCAAACGAAGGAAAUCAAAACAUAACAUGAAAAAUAAAACUAGAAUGGUUUCAUUGCAAGUUAAACCUUUUAAACUACCUAAACGGAGAAAGUAUGUUCCUAGAAUCUAAAAAAGAAUUAUUUUCCUCUAAUGUGGAAGUUCCAUUUUUCUGAAGGAUUAAUUGAAAAAAACCAUCAAAUGAGAACACCUAACGUUAAAUUAUAGUCGAGCAAUUACACAACAAAACAGUAAGGCAGAGACAAUACUUUAAGAAUUCUCAUGGCGGCGAUAAUGACGGGUUAAGAAUCAAAAUGCCCAUCAUAACUAUAAUAUAAUAAUACAAUAGCAACAAUAAUGUUGUGCUUCACUUUCAGGAUGAUGCAUGAAGUAAAUAAUGCAAGAUAUCAAAAGUCUACAACCACAAAAAAAUCAUAAAAUUAUAUAGUGCAGUUGUGUUGUUAAUUCUGUGGAACGUAAAUAAUAGGAAUCCGGAUGAUUUACGAAAGAAUCUAAUUAAAGAGUAAGGCCAGUAUCCAAUAAUGUUCUUGCUGCUCAAGAAUCUAUGGGUGAAGAUUAGAUUAAAAAGCACAACUACACUUGGCAAGGUUUUACUUUUGCAGUAACCGAUACGUAGCAUCAUGGCUUAUUUAUUCAAGCAAGGGGUUAUAAUCCUUCUUUCCUAUAUGCGACAUCGAUGCUAGGGGAAAUCAUAAUUGAGCUUACAAUUUGAAGACUGCCGAAACCUUGACCAUUAAUUCCUCCUCCACGCCACAACUUGAGCAAUGAUCAUUCCUACCAACACUUACCAAUCUGAUAGUGUCAAGCAAAUGUGCAUGUUCAUAUCUAAACAUGUGUUUCUGGGUUAAUUAAUAACUAAAACUACAUA
rnacentral:misc_RNA from 1 species